CGGGGCGUGGCGCAGUUUGGUAGCGCACCUGCUUUGGGAGCAGGGGGCCGCAGGUUCGAAUCCUGUCGCCCCGACCA
rnacentral:tRNA from 1 species